rnacentral:rRNA from 1 species
AUUGAACGCUGGCGGCAUGCUUUACACAUGCAAGUCGAACGGUAACAGGCCGCAAGGUGCUGACGAGUGGCGAACGGGUGAGUAAUGCAUCGGAACGUGCCCAGUCGUGGGGGAUAACGCAGCGAAAGCUGUGCUAAUACCGCAUACGAUCUAUGGAUGAAAGCGGGGGACCGUAAGGCCUCGCGCGAUUGGAGCGGCCGAUGUCAGAUUAGGUAGUUGGUGCGGUAAAGGCCCACCAAGCCAACGAUCUGUAGCUGGUCUGAGAGGACGACCAGCCACACUGGGACUGAGACACGGCCCAGACUCCUACGGGAGGCAGCAGUGGGGAAUUUUGGACAAUGGGCGCAAGCCUGAUCCAGCAAUGCCGUGUGCAGGAAGAAGGCCUUCGGGUUGUAAACUGCUUUUGUACGGAACGAAACGGCUCUGGUUAAUACCCGGGGCUAAUGACGGUACCGUAAGAAUAAGCACCGGCUAACUACGUGCCAGCCGCCGCCGUAACAC